UUGCAGGAUAGGUUACAGAGCAGCUUGUGCAGUACUGCUUUGUCCCCCCCCCCUGCACACAGACUUGUCUCCCAUACUAUCCUGGUCUGUGCAUCCCACAGCAGACCGGGAUGUUUGGUCUCAGACAU
rnacentral:snoRNA from 1 species